AAGGCCCUACUUUCAGGGAUCAGUUCUAUAGUAUGUUACUAGAGAAGUUUCUGUGAUCGUGUAUGGUACCAGAAAACAAGGGGAGGAGGCGGCGUAGCGUUCUUUCCUGAGCUCUCGGUGUUUCCUUGCUGUAACUGCCUCUUACCAGCUUACCAUUGGUGAUCAUUCUUGCUCCUUUCCUAGAGGGAGUAAGAGGGAAGGGGAAGGAACGCAGCUUGAGUGGU
ensembl:snoRNA U3 Small nucleolar RNA U3